CGGCUCGGCUCGGCUCGGCUCAACUUUGGGGCAGCAACCAGGGCUGCUUCGGCAGUCCAGCCCCGCCUCCCCUG
rnacentral:miRNA from 1 species